UAGAUUCGAGUCCGGGUCGGAG
rnacentral:miRNA from 3 species